AGUUGUAGUUUGUUGUCUUGCUUGGGUCCCUGCAGUUAAAACAAGAUGCUCCUCCCUAGGUUAUUAUAAAACCCAGCAACUCGACCUCCCGUAAGGAGAUCUGGGCUUUCAGAGGAGAAGCUGUGUUUCUAUAUGAUGUCAAUGUUUGAAGAGUUUGGACAGUGUUUGAGCUGAAGUGAGUUUAGGUUACAGGCUAAUAACUCACUUUAUGUACAGGAGGAAGAAAUGGAGAUGCCCGUCUAUUUAGGCGGGGCUGUCCCAAGCGUGGAAGAUGGGUGGAAGAUGAUUUGCAUGAAUGCUGGGUAGCAUGGGCAGAGGAGCGAUUUCCCAGCGUUGACUUAAUCCUUGGUUUGUUUUUUAUUUUCAGCCUUUUAACCCUGCUCUGCUCUUUAUGAAACUGUGUGUCACAAUGUUAGUCCACUCUGGCCUUAAACUUGAUCCUUCAGCCCCAGCAUCCCAAGUCCUGGGAUUAUAGUUAAGUUUCUCCACACCAGGCGUCCCAGUGAUUUCAAUAGAUGAGCAAAUUUGGGAGUCAAUGAAAUGGGAGAAAGACCCGUGUCAUAAGGCAUCGUAGAACGUCAUUACUGCCGCCCCCGCGUCUAAUUGCCGAGGACAAAGAGGGAGAGAGCUACUCAAGGACAGAAUUCUCCUGAGAGCUUUCCAUGGAGACUUCUCAUGGGAGGAGAUGCUUGGGGGUCCCAGUUGUUGCAGUCACGGCGAUUUCAAUAUCCACAAUAUUGUCACUAUACACUGCGUUGACAACGCCUUGGUGACAUCCUCGGUCCCAGCUGCUGCUGACUGACAGACCUAGAGAGGCCCAUCUACUGGGGUUCGGUACGUUUGGCGGGGGGCAAAGGUCUGAAGAAAUCGAUGGCCGAAAAAUCACGCAAGGAUGAGGAUGUAGACAAAGAAGACUCAAUAUCGAAGCAAGGGCAGGUUUCUAUUCUAAUCUCAUCUAAUGGCUCCUCCACGGCCAUCUGACCCAAUUGAAGUCAAGACCACACAGAUUCUAUCCCGAAUCGCCGCUGCUCUUGUCCUGGGUGCCACGCUCGCGCCCUAGUUACAUGGGCUUCCUCCUGCCAUGAUGGCUUGUCCCAGUUCCAGAAGCACAGACACCUGACCAGCAACUGAAACCUUUGAGACAACCGGGAGCCACAGAAUGGAAAGCUCGGCUUCUAAAUCAGACCUCCAAGUCCUGAUAUCCACUCCUGCCUCAUGCACUGAAAGGAAAUAAAACUGUGAUUCAUGUAAUGUAUGUCAAAUAGCCCAAAGAGUUGUUUGUGAGCUUUG
rnacentral:lncRNA from 1 species